UACGUAGGGUGCAAGCAUUAAUCGGAAUUAUUGGGCGUAAAGGGCGCGUAGGCGGAUUUAUAAGUCAGAUGUGAAAUUUCGGGGCUCAACCUCGAAGCUGCAUUUGAAACUGUGAGUCUUGAGGGUUGACGGAGAAAACGGAAUUCCACGUGUAGCGGUGAAAUGCGUAGAUAUGUGGAAGAACACCUGUGGCGAAAGCGGUUUUCUAGUUAACACCUGACGCUGAGGCGCGAGAGCAAGGGGAGCAAACAGG
rnacentral:rRNA from 1 species